rnacentral:rRNA from 1 species
AGUGAACGCUGGCGGUAGGCCUAACACAUGCAAGUCGAACGGCAGCACAGGAGAGCCUGCUCUCUGGGUGGCGAGUGGCGGACGGGUGAGGAAUACAUCGGAAUCUACUCUGUCGUGGGGGAUAACGUAGGGAAACUUACGCUAAUACCGCAUACGACCUACGGGUGAAAGCAGGGGACCUUCGGGCCUUGCGCGAUUGAAUGAGCCGAUGUCGGAUUAGCUAGUUGGCGGGGUAAAGGCCCACCAAGGCGACGAUCCGUAGCUGGUCUGAGAGGAUGAACAGCCACACUGGAACUGAGACACGGUCCAGACUCCUACGGGAGUCAGCAGUGGGGAAUAUUGGACAAUGGGCGCAAGCCGGAUCCAGCCAUACCGCGUGGGUGAAGAAGGCCUUCGGGUUGUAAAGCCCUUUUGUUGGGAAAGAAAUCCAGCUGGCUAAUACCCGGUUGGGAUGACGGUACCCAAAGAAUAAGCACCGGCUAACUUCGUGCCAGCCGCCGCAGUAA